GUUUUUGCUACAUUUGUGUUAAAUGAUCUUGUUAGAGACUUGGGGAUGUCAAAAUCUAAAGCACAAUUACUCGCAUCAAGAUUAAAACAUCGGAAUUUGUUGGAUAAACGUACAAGAAUCUCAUAUUUUCGCACAAGACAAGAUGAUUUAGUAUAUUAUAAUGAUGCCGCCGGGCUUCUUCAAGAACUUAGUUUUCCAGAAAAUUCUGAUGAAUGAAGACUUUUUAUUGAUGCCUCAAAGAUAAGUGUGAAAGCCGUUUUACUCCAUAAUAAAUACCCAUCAGUGGCCGUUGCACAUGCAACAAACAUGAAAGAAAAUUAUGCAAAUCUGGAGGAUGCAAUAUGUCACUUAAAAUUCAUUUUUUGGUCAGCAGAAGUGCUUGCUGAUUACUGUUAGUCGCUUCCCCGAGAAACCUCGAUAGAAAUGAUGAAAAGAAAAAAAACAAAGUAACUUUACUAUCAUCAUGAGAUAAAUUUACUGAUAUAAAAUAACUUAAGAGUAAGUAAGAGUAAAAUUAGCAUUUUCGACUGUAAAACUU